GCCCUCAUUCCUUCUCUUGUCACAUAUCCUAGGUUUCCACUUUCUCUUGGUUGUUGAAUCUAACAGUAGUCUCACCACCUCCUACUAGAAUUUUUUAUCUUUUUAUAUUUCAGUCACCAUGAUUCGCCACAAGUAAGGAUAACUUUUCUAAAGUUAUUAGAAUUAUUAAUCAAAUUAGAAGCUAUGGUCAUACUAUUCA
rnacentral:lncRNA from 1 species